GACGAACGCUGGCGGCGUGCUUAACACAUGCAAGUCGAACGGAAAGGCCCUGCUUUUGUGGGGUGCUCGAGGGGCGAACGGGUGAGUAACACGUGAGUAACCUGCCCUUGACUUUGGGAUAACUUCAGGAAACUGGGGCUAAUACCGGAUAGGAGCUCCUGCUGCAUGGUGGGGGGUGGAAAGUUUCGGCGGUUGGGGAUGGACUCGCGGCUUAUCAGCUUGUUGGUGGGGUAGUGGCUUACCAAGGCUUUGACGGGUAGCCGGCCUGAGAGGGUGACCGGCCACAUUGGGACUGAGAUACGGCCCAGACUCCUACGGGAGGCAGCAGUGGGGAAUAUUGCACAAUGGGCGGAAGCCUGAUGCAGCAACGCCGCGUGCGGGAUGACGGCCUUCGGGUUGUAAACCGCUUUCGCCUGUGACGAAGCGUGAGUGACGGUAAUGGGUAAAGAAGCACCGGCUAACUACGUG
rnacentral:rRNA from 1 species